rnacentral:rRNA from 1 species
UAGUGGCGGACGGGUGAGUAACGCGUGGGAAUUUGCCUUUCGGUGCGGGACAACCAAGGGAAACUUUGGCUAAUACCGCAUACGCCCUACGGGGGAAAGAUUUAUCGCCGAAAGAGAAGCCCGCGUCGGAUUAGCUUGUUGGUAGGGUAAAGGCCUACCAAGGCGACGAUCUUUAGCUGGUCUGAGAGGACGAUCAGCCACACUGGGACUGAGACACGGCCCAGACUCC